rnacentral:lncRNA from 1 species
UUUGAAUCUGAUUCAAGCUCUCUAAGUGGAAGUAUAUGCUUCCAAUCUGAGAGAGAAUCGGGUUCAAAUCUUGCGGGGACCUUCUGUGCCGUUUGAUUCCGUGAUCUUCUAGCUUCGCUUGGUGGUUAUCCUACGACUUCUAAGCAAUCUCAAUAUGCUACAAGCAUGGUGGAUACGCCGUUGGAGCUAAUGCAUAGGAUGAUCGUGACACGCUAGGGUGGACUUGGGCCUUAGUGACAUAAAACAGAACUAGACUUAGUUUAAUUACGUUAUGUACUCUUAAUUUCAGUAAUUUUAAGACAAUGUAACUUGUUGGUUCUUGUUUGAAACAAUGUAUUCCACCCCUGGGUGAUGAAUAAAAUAAUAUU